GGCCGCGGGAAUUCGAUUAGAGUUUGAUUCUGGCUCAGGAUGAACGCUGGCGGCGUGCCUAAUACAUGCAAGUCGAGCGAACAGACGAGGAGCUUGCUCCUCUGACGUUAGCGGCGGACGGGUGAGUAACACGUGGAUAACCUACCUAUAAGACUGGGAUAACUUCGGGAAACCGGAGCUAAUACCGGAUAAUAUAUUGAACCGCAUGGUUCAAUAGUGAAAGACGGUUUUGCUGUCACUUAUAGAUGGAUCCGCGCCGCAUUAGCUAGUUGGUAAGGUAACGGCUUACCAAGGCAACGAUGCGUAGCCGACCUGAGAGGGUGAUCGGCCACACUGGAACUGAGACACGGUCCAGACUCCUACGGGAGGCAGCAGUAGGGAAUCUUCCGCAAUGGGCGAAAGCCUGACGGAGCAACGCCGCGUGAGUGAUGAAGGUCUUCGGAUCGUAAAACUCUGUUAUUAGGGAAGAACAAAUGUGUAAGUAACUAUGCACGUCUUGACGGUACCUAAUCAGAAAGCCACGGCUAACUACGUGCCAGCAGCCGCGGUAAUACGUAGGUGGCAAGCGUUAUCCGGAAUUAUUGGGCGUAAAGCGCGCGUAGGCGGUUUUUUAAGUCUGAUGUGAAAGCCCACGGCUCAACCGUGGAGGGUCAUUGGAAACUGGAAAACUUGAGUGCAGAAGAGGAAAGUGGAAUUCCAUGUGUAGCGGUGAAAUGCGCAGAGAUAUGGAGGAACACCAGUGGCGAAGGCGACUUUCUGGUCUGUAACUGACGCUGAUGUGCGAAAGCGUGGGGAUCAAACAGGAUUAGAUACCCUGGUAGUCCACGCCGUAAACGAUGAGUGCUAAGUGUUAGGGGGGUUCCGCCCCUUAGUGCUGCAGCUAACGCAUUAAGCACUCCGCCUGGGGAGUACGACCGCAAGGUUGAAACUCAAAGGAAUUGACGG
rnacentral:rRNA from 1 species